rnacentral:tRNA from 1 species
CGAAAAUAGCUUAAUAGGCAAAGCAUGACCUUGCCAAGGUCAUUAUAAGGGUUCGAGUCCCUUUUUUCGCU